rnacentral:tRNA from 1 species
UCGGCCGGAGCGGCCGGCACCACCGGGUCGGCCAGUGCGGCCGGAGCUACCGGUGGUUCUGCUACCGCCCGGCCGGGC